GGGCGAAAACUUUACAAUGCUGGCAACAGCGAUAAGGGAACCUCGAGUGCCAGGUUACAAAUCUGGCUGUCGAGACGCCUAAAAAGCAUUUCAUAGCAAGGGCCGGGCAAGACCGGUGCCAGCCGCCGCGGUAACACCGGCGGCUCGAGUGGUAACCGUUAUUAUUGGGUCUAAAGGGUCUGUAGCCGGCCGGAUAAGUCUCUUGAGAAAUCUGGCAGCUUAACUGUCAGGCUUUCAGGAGAUACUGUCUGGCUCGAGGCCGGGAGAGGUGAGAGGUACUUCAGGGGUAGGGGUGAAAUCUUGUAAUCCUUGAAGGACCACCAGUAGCGAAGGCGUCUCACCAGAACGGACCUGACGGCAAGGGACGAAAGCUAGGGGCACGAACCG
rnacentral:rRNA from 1 species